rnacentral:rRNA from 1 species
CGCGCAGGUGGCGGUGCUGGCCCGGCGUGAAAGCCCCCGGCUCAACCGGGGAGGGUCGUCGGGGACCGCACCGCUUGAGGGCGGUAGGGGCUGGUGGAAUGCCUGGUGUAGUGGUGAAAUGCGUAGAGAUCAGGCGGAACACCCGUAGCGAAGGCGGCCAGCUGGGCCGACCCUGACACUGAGGCGCGAAGGCGUGGGGAGCGAAC